ensembl:snoRNA Gm24533 small nucleolar RNA SNORA73 family
CCAACAUGGAAACCCCAGCAGGCCACUCUCCCAAACUCUAUCCUAGUGGUAUAGGAGAACAUAGACUCUGUCCCUUUACAGUCCCUACAGUCCUUUUCCACAAAGCUGGAGAUGAAGCUGGGCUUCAAGUCUGCUCCUGCAUGUUCCUAUGACUCCUGAGUCCUGUGUAUGAUGACGGAGGAGACAAACCAUGCAGGAAACAAUU